rnacentral:rRNA from 1 species
UACGUAGGGGGCAAGCGUUGUCCGGAUUUAUUGGGCGUAAAGAGCUCGUAGGCGGUUUGUCGCGUCUGCUGUGAAAACUCGGGGCUAAACCCCGGGCCUGCAGUGGGUACGGGCAGACUAGAGUGCGGUAGGGGAGACUGGAAUUCCUGGUGUAGCGGUGAAAUGCGCAGAUAUCAGGAGGAACACCGGUGGCGAAGGCGGGUCUCUGGGCCGUAACUGACGCUGAGGAGCGAAAGCGUGGGGAGCGAACAGG